rnacentral:rRNA from 1 species
GAGUUUGAUCAUAGCUCAGAUUGAACGCUGGCGGCAGGCCUAACACAUGCAAGUCGAGCGGAUGACGGGAGCUUGCUCCUUGAUUCAGCGGCGGACGGGUGAGUAAUGCCUAGGAAUCUGCCUGGUAGUGGGGGACAACGUUUCGAAAGGAACGCUAAUACCGCAUACGUCCUACGGGAGAAAGCAGGGGACCUUCGGGCCUUGCGCUAUCAGAUGAGCCUAGGCCGGAUUAGCUAGUUGGUGGGGUAAUGGCUCACCAAGGCGACGAUCCGUAACUGGUCUGAGAGGAUGAUCAGUCACACUGGAACUGAGACACGGUCCAGACUCCUACGGGAGGCAGCAGUGGGGAAUAUUGGACAAUGGGCGAAAGCCUGAUCCAGCCAUGCCGCGUGUGUGAAGAAGGUCUUCGGAUUGUAAAGCACUUUAAGUUGGGAGGAAGGGCAGUAAGUUAAUACCUUGCUGUUUUGACGUUACCGACAGAAUAAGCACCGGCUAACUCUGUGCCAGCACG